rnacentral:rRNA from 1 species
AUUGAACGCUGGCGGAAUGCUUUACACAUGCAAGUCGAACGGCAGCACGGGGGCAACCCUGGUGGCGAGUGGCGAACGGGUGAGUAAUACAUCGGAACGUGCCCAGUCGUGGGGGAUAACGUAGCGAAAGUUACGCUAAUACCGCAUACGAUCUACGGAUGAAAGCGGGGGACCGUAAGGCCUCGCGCGAUUGGAGCGGCCGAUGUCAGAUUAGGUAGUUGGGGAGGUAAAGGCUCACCAAGCCGACGAUCUGUAGCUGGUCUGAGAGGACGACCAGCCACACUGGGACUGAGACACGGCCCAGACUCCUACGGGAGGCAGCAGUGGGGAAUUUUGGACAAUGGGCGCAAGCCUGAUCCAGCCAUUCCGCGUGCAGGACGAAGGCCUUCGGGUUGUAAACUGCUUUUGUACGGAACGAAAAGGCUCUGGUUAAUACCUGGGGCUCAUGACGGUACCGUAAGAAUAAGCACCGGCUAACUACGUGCCAGCCGCCGCCGUAACAC